rfam:Hordeum vulgare subsp. vulgare, WGS project CAJW01000000 data, contig: morex_contig_276773
UUAGUACUCCCUGUGUCCCGAAAUUUUUGUCUUAGAUUUGUCUAGAAAUAGAUGUAUCUGAAUACUAAAACGCGGCUAGAUACAUUCAUAUUUAGACAAAUGUAAGAUAAGAAUUUUAAGACGGAGGAGUACUUA